rnacentral:rRNA from 1 species
UAGCCCUAAAUCUUGAUGACCCCAAACACAAACAUCCGCCUGAGAACUACGAGCACAAACGCUUAAAACUCUAAGGACUUGGCGGUGCUCUAAACCCACCUAGAGGAGCCUGUUCUAUAAUCGAUAACCCACGAUUCACCCGACCACCUCUUGCCAAAACAGCCUAUAUACCGCCGUCGCCAGCCCACCUCGUGAGAGCACAACAGUGAGCCCAACAGCCCACAGCCCACUAACAAGACAGGUCAAGGUAUAGCCUAUGAGGUGGAAGAAAUGGGCUACAUUUUCUAAAAUAGAAAACCCAACGAAAAGGGGCUUGAAACCUGCCCCCAGAAGGCG